rnacentral:rRNA from 1 species
AGUGAACGCUGGCGGUAGGCCUAACACAUGCAAGUCGAACGGCAGCACAGUAAGAGCUUGCUCUUACGGGUGGCGAGUGGCGGACGGGUGAGGAAUACAUCGGAAUCUACUUUUUCGUGGGGGAUAACGUAGGGAAACUUACGCUAAUACCGCAUACGACCUACGGGUGAAAGCAGGGGAUCUUCGGACCUUGCGCGAUUGAAUGAGCCGAUGUCGGAUUAGCUAGUUGGCGGGGUAAAGGCCCACCAGGGCGACGAUCCGUAGCUGGUCUGAGAGGAUGAUCAGCCACACUGGAACUGAGACACGGUCCAGACUCCUACGGGAGGCAGCAGUGGGGAAUAUUGGACAAUGGGCGCAGGCCUGAUCCAGCCAUACCGCGUGGGUGAAGAAGGCCUUCGGGUUGUAAAGCCCUUUUGUUGGGAAAGAAAAGCAGCAGGUUAAUACCCCGCUGUUCUGACGGUACCCAAAGAAUAAGCACCGGCUAACUUCGUG